UCACCUCCUCAACUGUGUGGGAAGUUUGGUUUUCAUCUUUUAACUGAGGCUGUUCCGUAACGAAGAAGAAGAUACUCAAUGGCUAUCUAAGAAGUGAGCCCCAGAUUCUGCCAAGAGCUUCUUGUCCGAGGAAGAUGAAGAGAUCAUUGACAGAGAAGUCCUGUGAAGACUUUUACACAUGGUCUCUUUGCCCAGCCCAGUUCGUAGCCACAAGCAGAAGGUGACCCAGGCACAUGCGUAUCUCAGACAUCUGUUGACCUCUCAUCUGCUCCGACCAUCGGAUGACCUGUGAGGAAUGGGUUCGGAGCCUGCCUUUCUGUCCCUAACAUGAAGGGAGGUCCAGCCUAUGGGCUGCUGCUGGGCCUCGUUCGGGACAGGACCACGUGGGCCAUCUGACCAGGGCCAGGGAAACAGAAGAGAGCACCUCAGCCUCUAGAACAACAGUGAGUCCCCAGAGAGCCUUUCUUUACCUCACACUGCAUCAAGGC